UCUUCCUUGGUCUAGUGGUCAUGAUUUCCGCUUGUCAAUUUCGAAUUGGAAUAACAAGCGCGGGAGACCGGGGUUCGAUUCCCCGAGGGAGAG